rnacentral:ribozyme from 14 species
AACAACGGAAAAAAAAAUACAAAAAAAAAACAACAACCAACAACCUAAAAACUUCUUCUGUCGGCCGAGAUUUUUUUUUUUUUUUUUGUUGGUUCUAGUUUGUUUUUGUUUCUG